UUCACGGGACUGGAUAGUGAUUAACUUUUGAGUGGCCUUUCUCAAAGCAUGGUCUGAAGACCACUGCAUCAGGAUCACCAGAGCCUCUUGUUGAAAAUAAAAAAACAAAACAAAACAAAACAAAAAACCUCUGUUUGUAUCUGUAGACAAAGAUCUGUUCAGAAUGGUUGGCUUUGUGAGGUGCUGUGAGACAGAGAUGAAAAAGACAAUCUGCCAAGCCUUAGGAAAAAAAUAUUAAACAAGCAUCUCUAGGAAAUUGCAAAAUAGUUUCUACUUUAUCAGGAUUUCCAAUUCCAGGUGAAUAGGAUAAAGAUGAUGGUCUUUGGAGGCAAAAAAUGUGUUACUGGGAAAGAAGUGAUAACCAGAUACAUUCACAUCAUUAUGCACCAUUAUUCUGAUAGAGAAGCCAAAAGCACAGGGCCAAUCCUUUGCUUAAGCUAUAAACAUGACCUCUCCACUGAGCUCCAGACUUGUAUAUCCAACUGCCUACUCGCACCUCUACUUAGAUGUCUAAUAAACAUCUUGAUUUCAAUACAUUUGUGAUGGUUAACAUUAGGUAUCAACUUGACUGGAUUGAGGAAUGCCUAAAUGGCUGGUGAAUCAUUGUUCCUGGGUGUGUCUGUGAGGGUGUUUCGGGAGGAAAUUGACAUUUGAGUCAGUGGACUGAGAGAAGGAAGAUCCACCGUCAAUGUGUGUGGGCACCAUCCAAUCGGCUGCCAGCACAGCUAGAACAAAACAG
rnacentral:antisense_RNA from 1 species